AAUUUCCAUGGCGUCACCAACACUCCUAACCCCCACCUCCAAACCAACACCUCUCUCUACCACCACCUCCAAAGCCUUCAUUGUCUCCACAGUCAGUCCUCCACCCCCACCACAACACCACCAACAACCUCUUCGCCGCCACUUCUUGUCGUUAGCCACUAUUAUCCUCACUCCACCAUUGCUAUCACCGGUGGCUCCAGCCCAUGCUGCAUCUGAUGAAGAGUACGUGAAGGAUACCGAAGUAGUUAUCAACAAGGUCAGAACCAC
rnacentral:lncRNA from 1 species